AGGACGAACGUUGGCGGCGUGCUUACACAUGCAAGUCUGCGAGAAAGUAUAGCAAUAUAGCGAGUAAAGCGGCGAAAGGGUGCGUAACGCGUAAGCAACUUGCCCAUAGGAUGGGGAUAACGUCGAGAAAUCGGCGCUAAUACCCAAUAAUGCAGCGGCAUCGCAUGAUGAUGUUGUUAAAGGUCGCUUCGGUGGCGCCUAUGGAUGGGCUUGCGUCUGAUUAGUUAGUUGGCGAGGUAACGGCUCACCAAGACGACGAUCAGUAGCUGGUCUGAGAGGAUGAUCAGCCACACUGGAACUGAGACACGGUCCAGACUCCUACGGGAGGCAGCAGUGAGGAAUAUUGGGCAAUGCCCGCAAGGGUGACCCAGCAACGCCGCGUGGAGGACGACAGCCGUAAGGUUGUAAACUCCUGUUCGGGGGGACGAAUAACCGUCGUUUGCAAAGGCGACGGCUUGACGGUACCCUCAGAGAAAGCCCCGGCUAACUACGUGCCAGCAGCCGCGGUAAUUACGUAGGGGGCAAACGUUGUCNCGGAUUUACUGGGUGUAAAGGGCGCGCAGGCGGGUCGGUCAAUCAGAGGUGAAAGCCCACAGCUUAACUGUGGAACUGCCUUUGAUACUGCCGAUCUUGAGUGCGGGAGAGAGAAGCGGAAUUCCAGGUGUAGUGGUGAAAUACGUAGAUAUCUGGAAGAACACCGGUUGCGAAGGCGGCUUCUUGGACCGACACUGACGCUGAGGCGCGAAAGCGUGGGGAGCGAACAGGAUUAGAUACCCUGGUAGUCCACGCUGUAAACGAUGAAUGUUAGAUGUCGGGGGAUUUUUCCUUCGGCGUCAAAGUUAACGCAUUAAACAUUCCACCUGGGAAGUACGAUCGCAAGGUUGAAACUCAAAGGAAUUGACGGGGGCCCGCACAAGCAGUGGAGCAUGUGGUUUAAUUCGAUGCAACGCGAAGAACCUUACCUAGGCUUGAAAUGUGUUCGAUCGGUCGUGAAAGCGACCUUCCUUCGGGCGGACACACAGGUGCUGCAUGGCUGUCGUCAGCUCGUGCCGCGAGGUGUUGGGUUAAGUCCCGCAACGAGCGCAA
rnacentral:rRNA from 1 species